AGAAUUUGAUCUUGGUCAGGAUGAACGCUAGCUACAGGCUUAACACAUGCAAGUCGAGGGGCAGCAUGGAACUUAGCUGCUAAGUUCGAUGGCGACCGGCGCACGGGUGAGUAACACGUAUCCAACCUACCGUUUACUACGGGAUAGCCUUCUGAAAAGGAGAUUAAUACCGUAUGGUAUUCUAAAGUUUCAUGACAUUAGAAUUAAAGGUUUACCGGUAAUCGAUGGGGAUGCGUUCCAUUAGAUAGUAGGCGGGGUAACGGCCCACCUAGUCAGCGAUGGAUAGGGGUUCUGAGAGGAAGGUCCCCCACAUUGGAACUGAGACACGGUCCAAACUCCUACGGGAGGCAGCAGUGAGGAAUAUUGGUCAAUGGACGAGAGUCUGAACCAGCCAAGUAGCGUGAAGGAAGAAGGAUCUAUGGUUCGUAAACUUCUUUUGCAGGGGAAUAAAGUGCAGGACGUGUCCUGUUUUGUAUGUACCCUGAGAAUAAGGAUCGGCUAACUCCGUGCCAGCCGCCGC
rnacentral:rRNA from 1 species